GAUGAACGCUGGCGGCGUGCCUAAUACAUGCAAGUCGAGCGAACGGACGCGAAGCUUGCUUCUCUGUUGUUAGCGGCGGAGGGGUGAGUCACGCGUGGAUCCCCUACCUAUCAGACUGGGAUCACUUCGGAACACCGGCGCUAACCCCGGAUAAUAUUUUGCACCGCAUGGUUCAAAAGUGAAAGACGGUCUUGCUGUCACUUAUAGAUGGUUCCGCGCUGCAUUAGCUAGUUGGUACGGUCACGGCUUUCCAAGGCAACGAUGCAUGGCCGACCUGAGAGGGGGAUAGGCCACACGGGAACUGAGACACGGUCCAGACUCCUACGGGAGGCAGCAGUAGGGAAUCUUACGCAAUGGGCGAAAGCCUGACGGAGCAACGCCGCGUGAGUGAUGAAGGUCUUCGGAGCGUAAAACUCUGUUAUGAGGUAAGAACAGAUGUGUACUGAACUGUGCACAGCUUGACGGUACCGAAUCAGAAAGCAACGGCUAACUACGUG
rnacentral:rRNA from 1 species